rnacentral:rRNA from 1 species
CCUACGGGGGGCUGCAGUGGGGAAUAUUGGACAAUGGGCGAAAGCCUGAUCCAGCCAUGCCGCGUGUGUGAAGAAGGCCUUCGGGUUGUAAAGCACUUUCAGUGGGGAAGAAAGCCUUGGGGCUAAUACCCUCGAGGAAGGACAUCACCCACAGAAGAAGCACCGGCUAACUCCGUGCCAGCAGCCGCGGUAAUACGGAGGGUGCGAGCGUUAAUCGGAAUUACUGGGCGUAAAGCGCGCGUAGGCGGUCUGAUAAGCCGGUUGUGAAAGCCCCGGGCUCAACCUGGGAACGGCAUCCGGAACUGUCAGGCUAGAGUGCAGGAGAGGAAGGUAGAAUUCCCGGUGUAGCGGUGAAAUGCGUAGAGAUCGGGAGGAAAACCAGUGGCGAAGGCGGCCUUCUGGACUGACACUGACGCUGAGGUGCGAAAGCGUGGGUAGCAAACAGGAUUAGAUACCCCAGUCGUC